AUGUGUCUGCUUGUGUAGCAGCAUGUGUAUGGGGGUGCAGUAUGUAUGUAUGUUUGUGUGCAUUUGAGGCAAUGUGUGUUUGUGUGCACAGGGCCAGAUAGUGGUUGUGCAUUGGACUCUAUGAAUGUGUGUCUGCUUGUGUAGCAGCAUAUGUAUGGGGAGUGCAGUGUGUGUGAGUGAGUGAGUGCGCGCACACAUGCACACAUGGUGGGAUGAAAUAGAAAUGGCUCCUCUCUGCUUUGUGCAGACACACACACCCCAUCCGUGUGCGGUACUGUGUAUCUGGGCACCUGGCGGCUGGGAACAGCCUCCCAUGCCCUGUGCUUUGUGUUUCAUAUCAGGGCCAGCUGAGACUGCGGCUGAUGAGUGGCCCAAGCCCCUGCUCCGGGCGAGUGGAGGUGCUGAUUAACGACACCUGGGAUGCCGUGUGUGACGCUGGCUGGGGCCUGACGGAGGCGGGAGUGGUGUGCAAGCAGCUGGGCUGCAGCGCCGUGCUGUCAGCCCCAGGGGUUGCUCAGUUCAGCCAUGGGGCCAGCAAGUGCUGGCUGGAGGGCGUGAGCUGCUCAGGCCAGGAGUCUCUCAUCAGCGAGUGCCAGCUGAGCCGGCUGGGUCCUGGGCUGUGUGGCCGUGGCUCCGAGGCCAGCGUGGUGUGUGCUGGGCAGGCCGGUGCCUGCAGAUGCGAAGGCAGCGCGCAGAGCCUCCCUGGCCGAUCAUGCACCUAGGGGCCGCAGGGACAUGGUGGCCGCUUCCUGCGAGCCGUGGCCAUGUGCACACGGAGGAUCUGGGGGCUUCAGGGACCCCAGCUCGGUCCCAGGGAGUGACAAAUCUGGAUCCCUCUGAGAAGCCUGAAAGCGAGAUGACCCGGCUGGUGAUAGAAGAUAUGGUGGCAGGGGCGGCCCUAGACUAGCUGACAGCAAGUGGUGCCCUAGGCGAACCAUGCAAUCGUUACCCCCACCCCCAAACGCCAAGGGCAGAUCUAGGCUGAGGUUUUUGGUAAACUGGGAUACAUUUUGCCCCUU